UGGGGAAUAUUGCACAAUGGGCGCAAGCCUGAUGCAGCCAUGCCGCGUGUAUGAAGAAGGCCUUCGGGUUGUAAAGUACUUUCAGCGGGGAGGAAGGGAGUAAAGUUAAUACCUUUGCUCAUUGACGUUACCCGCAGAAGAAGCACCGGCUAACUCCGUGCCAGCAGCCGCGGUAAUACGGAGGGUGCAAGCGUUAAUCGGAAUUACUGGGCGUAAAGCGCACGCAGGCGGUUUGUUAAGUCAGAUGUGAAAUCCUCGGGCUCAACCUGGGAACUGCAUCUGAUACUGGCAAGCUUGAGUCUCGUAGAGGGGGGUAGAAUUCCAGGUGUGGCGGUGAAAUGCGUAGAGAUCUGGAGGAAUACCGGUGGCGAAGGCGGCCCCCUGGACGAAGACUGACGCUCAGGUGCGAAAGAGUGGGGAGCAAACAGG
rnacentral:rRNA from 1 species